ensembl:lincRNA
AGCCUAGGCAACAGAGCAAGACUCCUUCUUGGAAAAAAAAACAAUGCUUAAGGAAAACUUGGAGAAUGAAUAUAUGACUUCUGGAAUGACAGCUGCUCUGGUGCCCAGAUGUGGCAGCCGUAGUGGAUGACAUCACCACCUGCAUUCAAACUGGUUCAAGAGUGAGGAGCCAGCCACAGUGAAGCUGUUGCUGCAGAUGCUGGAGGUCUUCGCGAAGCGUGAAAACAUGGUCAGACGGCUCCGCAUUCUCCAGCCCUACGUGCUGAACUGCUGCUACUCCUCGAACAGUGACAUCGUGCUGGAGACUCUGCUGGUGCUGAAGAAUCUCCUGAGCCACCUCACCUGGCAGCACUCAUCCUCCUUCCUGAUCCAGCUCACCUUCACCCUGGUGCCCUUCUUUGAGGAGGUGUCGGAGCAUCUGCGGUUGGCAGCCUUUGAGAUCUAUGGGAGUGUCUUGGCCAAGGUCAAGAAGAGGAGCCUCGUCUUCCCCUUGAAGCAUCAGAUCCUCAACGUGCUAGUCCCCCUAGUGCUCCACCUGCAGGACGUGAAUUCCCACGUGGCUCUGAUUUGCUGGUCUGCGCUCUGCCACACAGCUGCUGUGCUGGGCUGGUCAAAGCUGAAAGCAGUAUUUGCAGAGAAAGAUGUGUGGAACAUUCUCGGAGCCCUGCUGGAGCAGGAGACGAACAAAGCCCUCUGGUUUCUGAAGCAGUGUGUGGUGCGCUUCGGCAGCCCCCAGGUUCCCGUCCGCAGGGCAGCUGUGUGGUUUGCAGGCCAGAUUCUCCAAACCCUCGACUUGGAAGAGAUGGAUGAAAUUGACGAGGCGCACACAGGUGAGUGGCAGCCCGGGCUCCUCCUCCUUGCGUCUUUUGGCAGCACCAGCGUUGGGAAGGAAUGCUCAGAAGUUAGGAACAAUGGGCGGAUGGCCUCACAAAAAUGA